GGGUACUUUUGCAGCGCUCGUUUUCACCUCAAGCGAUAGCCGCAAGGCUCUCGAUCAGCAAUGUUAGAGAUUACGUGGGCCUGGUUAGCGGCUGUAUUUCUCUGCGCCGUGAGUGGCAUCGUCUCGUGGGUGAUCGGACAGCGUCGGAAAUGCUUCAAGGACUUUGAAGGAACGGGAAUACCGGUGGUGCCGCUCCGUAGCCUUAUCAACGGCAACGCAGAUGAAUACUGGAAACCGACCAUAAUCGAGAGCGUCGGAAGAUGGCUGAAAGAAUACGGGGAUGUGUUUGGGUGAGACAUUCAUUUCCUCGUCACUAGGGAAAAAAAACAUUUUUGCCUACCUAAGACAACGAGAUGUGCCCUUUUACUGUCGCGCCCAGUUUCAGACGACCACCACGGGUGAAGAAGAAAUGACGGGGGCAUGAUGAAACCAAUAAAUUCAUUUUUCCAGUCACAGAAUGAUUCUGUCACUUCCGAAGAAGGA